GACGGGGGGGGCAAGUGUUCUUCGGAAUGACUGGGCGUAAAGGGCACGUAGGCGGUGAAUCGGGUUGAAAGUGAAAGUCGCCAAAAAGUGGCGGAAUGCUCUCGAAACCAAUUCACUUGAGUGAGACAGAGGAGAGUGGAAUUUCGUGUGUAUGGGUGAAAUCCGUAGAUCUACGAAGGAACGCCAAAAGCGAAGGCAGCUCUCUGGGUCCCUACCGACGCUGGGGUGCGAAAGCAUGGGGGAGCGAACAGG
rnacentral:rRNA from 1 species